UAUCUAUUCAAUGAGAUUUAUCAGUGGUGUGAUUAUUACAAAUUAAAAGCUUUUCCCA
rnacentral:snRNA from 1 species